rnacentral:rRNA from 1 species
GGAGAUUCAUCGUCAAAAUAUUUGGUAUUAGCAUUAGUUGUGAUAUGGUAGAUAAUCCUCGUGGUUAGAAACUGUACAUUCUAGUGCUAUUUUGCCUUUUAUGUCGGCGUGCCCUUCUUCCCUAGUAGAACAUCGCGACCCGUUAGAUGUUGAUCUAUGACCUGAUUAGUUGUCUCUAAUUCUGCUUGCAGUUAUUAGAAACUAUUAGUGUUCUGAUCAACUGUUUGACGGUACUCAUAUGGUAAUAAGUCGCUAUAUUUGCGUUAAAUCUAUCACAAGUGCGGUCAACUAUUGACACUGCGGAUCUAAUGCCGUCGUUAAUACUGACCAACUGUUAGUUGAUGGUAUUAUUUAACAGGCUUAUAUACCGGUCAGCGAUGCUACUGCUUUGGGUACUUUCAGGACCCGUCUUGAAACACGGACCAAGGAGUCUAACAUGUACGCAAGUCAUUGGGAUUUUUAAAAUAAACCUAAAGGCAUAAUGAAAGUAAAGAUUGUCUUCUGACAAUUGAGGAAAGAUAGGUUAUGUUACGAUGUAAUCUCGCAUUCCCGGGGG